AUCAAAAUGAGGGAAUGUUUCUCUUCAGAGCGUGCUCUGUUCGGUGGCGCCAUGGUUAGCACAUUUCCUCCUAGGUUCCAGUGCCUUGAGCGAAAGUGCUAUCCCAUCCGGAUCCAUAGAGGUAUUCAAAGUUGCAGUCUCCAGCUUUAAAGUCUCAAACUGGAGCAUUUUGGGCGCACCUGCCUAAUCUAUUCAAACAGCACUCAUCACCACAGCCCACGAAGGGUGUAGCUUGAGCGAGAGAGAGAGAAAGAGAGAGAGUGAGAGGGUGGGGUGGCAAUGGAGGACAUUCCAUUUAAAGCCGAAGAUGGGAGAUGGGACCAAUGCCUUCCCCAUAAGUCCCAUUAUAACUCUACCCAUGUGCCUUGCUUUGCCCCCUUCGCCCCCACGCACCCAAUAUGACUCACCAUUUUCAGAAAGAUUAUCAAAAUAAUUCAAAUUUGUUUUUAUUACUUACACCCGAACAUGCAUGUCGGGAACAACAAACCUCCACAUUAGUAUGAUAAUGUACACUUUGAAUGUAAGCUCUAAUGACUUUGGCUCGUUGAA